GACGAAGGGGGCUAGCGUUGCUCGGAAUCACUGGGCGUAAAGGGUGCGUAGGCGGGUCUUUAAGUCAGGGGGGAAAUCCUGGAGCUCAACUCCAGAACUGCCUUUGAUACUGAGGAUCUUGAGUUCGGGAGAGGUGAGUGGAACUGCGAGUGUAGAGGUGAAAUUCGUAGAUAUUCGCAAGAACACCAGUGGCGAAGGCGGCUCACUGGCCCGAUACUGACGCUGAGGCACGAAAGCGUGGGGAGCAAACAGG
rnacentral:rRNA from 1 species